UGCAGUUUCAGGCUUUUCCCAACUACAUCUAUUAAUAUUUAUUUUAACGUCGUAUUAAAGUUGAAGUUUGGAAAAUUUUGGUUUUGCA
rfam:Drosophila simulans chromosome 2R, whole genome shotgun sequence.